rnacentral:lncRNA from 1 species
GGCUCUGUGUUUGACAGCCAUCCUCCAGACCCAGAGGGACCACUCCUUUCCCUAGCUCUAGUGAUUCUCUAUACAAUCUCUCUCCUUAACAUUUUCCAUAAAUUCCUCAAAGUUUUUGGCCUGGUAAUACCAUCUUUCCUUGCUUUCCAGGUUGAUAUGGAGUCAUUUCACUGGAAUUUUAGGAAAGGGUGUAUAAUCAUUGCUCAAUAACCACAGUUAUCAGUGCAUUUAAAAUAUUCCUUCCUGGAAAUUCCCGUCAUGGCUCAGCAGAAACGAAUCUGACUAGUAAUUAUGAGGAUACAGGUUUGAUCCCUGGCUUCGCCGCUUGGUGGGUUAAGGAUCUGGUGUUGCCUUGAGCUGUGGUAUAGGUCGAAGACAUGGCUCGGGUGUGGUGUUGCUGCGCCUGUGGCGAAGGCCGGCAGCUACAACUCCGAUUUGACCCCUAGCCUGGGAACUUCCAUGUGCCAUGGGUAUGGCCCUAAAAGAAAAAGGUUAAAAAUAAAAUAAAAUAAAAUAUUCCUUUCUAGGAGUUCCCAUUGUGGAUCUGUAGGUUAAGGACCCAAUAUUGUCUCUGUGAGGAUACACGUUUGAUCCCUGGCCUUGCUCAGUAGGUUAAGGAUCUGUUGUUGCCACAAGCUACGGUGUAGUUCACAGAUGUGUCUCAGAUCUAGUGUUUCCAUGGCUGUGGCCUAGGCUUCAGCUGCAGCUAGGAUUCAACCCCUUGCCCAUAUGCCACAGGUGCGGCUGUAAAAAUAUAUAUACAUAUAUCCUACCUAUAUGCAGACACCACUGUGUGCCAGUAACUGGGCCAGGGCCUGACUAUGCUAAUUUAGUCUGCACAACAAUUUAAUUAAUUAGGUAUCUUUUUAAAAUUUUUUCAUUAAAGUAUAGUUGAUUUACAGUGUUGUGUCCAUUUCUGCUGUACAGCAGAUGGACCUAGUCUUACAUAUGUAUACAUUCUUUUUCUCUUGUUAUCUUCCAUCAUGUUCUGUCCCAAGAGAUUGGAUGUAGUUCCCUGUGCUGUGCAGUAGGGUGAACUAGGUUUCUUAUCCUUGUUUUUAUAGAUGAAAAAACUGAAACUCAAUAAGGUUAGUAAGUAAGUUUCUCAAGGGCGUGCAUUUAGCAGUGAACCCAGGUGCAAAUGCAUCCAGUUAUCACGUUGACAUGUAAAUUUCUGAUGAUACAGCGAUGCUCCAACAUGGGCCAUUUGAAUGAUGGCCAAGAGUAAUUCCAAGUUCUGGCUGUUUUUAUUUUCUUGACACAUGAAUUAAACAGAGAAUCAGCUUAGUGAUCUAAAUAAAGCUGACAGGAAACUCUGGAUCCCUCUCUGUUUUCAAGGACAUUAUUUCCUUCCUAUCCUUUUUCUUUCUAACAGCUGUAAGAGAGCAAUUUAAAAUGAAGUAGCUGCAGACGGUGUGAUUCCAUGUAGACUGUGUGGAGGAAAAAUAUAAUUAAAUUGAAAGGCUCUCAUUUGCAUAUAUAAAAAUAAUACCCAUAGGAAAGCGUGUGUAAAUAUCCUUCCCAAAGAAGCUGAAGGAACACAUCUUGAGUCAGCUGUCCUCUGCAUUGAUAGAUGUCCUUCUUUGUUUUGUGUAUCUGCUGAGAUCUCAACUAGUUUGCUAUUAGUGAUGCUCUGUAGACAGGUUAAUUUCUAUCUAGUUGGCUUAUUCAGGGACACAAAUUUCUGUAUUUUUCAUGACAAACAUAAUUAUGGCAAAACAAAUUAAGGCAAAUAGACUUGUGGUUGCCAAGGGGGAAGGGGAGGGAGUAGGAUGGAUUGGGAGCUUGGGGAUAAUAGAUGGAGACUAUUGCCUUUAGAAUGGAUUAGCAAUGAGAUCCUGCUGUGUAGCACUGGGAACUGUGUCUGGUCACUUAUGAUGGAGCAGGAUAAUGUGAGAAAAAAGAAUGUAUACAUGUAUGUGUAACUGGGUCACCAUGCUGUACAGUAGAAAAAAUAAUAAUAAUUAAUCAACACUGAUAUUAUUAUACAAUGUUUAAAUUCCCCAUAGAAAAAGCAUUAACCUUUUUACAUCUUUUAAAAAGUGGUUUAAUUUUGUCAUUAUUAAUUUCGAAUGUUUGCAUUUUCUUUUUUUAGAGCAACAGAUGCAGUUUAUUGCAUACUUAGUGUGCACUGGGAACUAUGCUAAGUGCUUUCUCUGGACGUUUUUCCAUUUAAUCUUAUGAAAUACAUAAUAUCUCUCGUAUUUUGCAGAUGAGGAAACUAAAGCUUCUAUUUCAAUUUUCCAGUUCAUAUGGGUCAAUUUCAGGAUAGCUAGUGCCACUUUUAUCUUUAAAAAAACUUUUUUUUCCGGAGUUCCCGUCGUGGCGCAGUGGUUAACGAAUCCGACUAGGAACCAUGAGGUUGCGGGUUCGGUCCCUGCCCUUGCUCAGUGGGUUAACGAUCUGGCGUUGCCGUGAGCUGUGGUGUAGGUUGCAGACGCGGCUUGGAUCCCACGUUGCUGUGGCUCUGGCGUAGGCCAGUGGCUGUGGCUCCGAUUCGACCCCUAGCCUGGGAACCUCCAUAUGCAGCGGGAGCGGCCCAAAGAAAUAG